UGGGGAAUAUUGCACAAUGGGCGCAAGCCUGAUGCAGCCAUGCCGCGUGUAUGAAGAAGGCCUUCGGGUUGUAAAGUACUUUCAGCGGGGAGGAAGGCGAUGAGGUUAAUAACCUCGUCGAUUGACGUUACCCGCAGAAGAAGCACCGGCUAACUCCGUGCCAGCAGCCGCGGUAAUACGGAGGGUGCAAGCGUUAAUCGGAAUUACUGGGCGUAAAGCGCACGCAGGCGGUCUGUCAAGUCGGAUGUGAAAUCCCCGGGCUCAACCUGGGAACUGCAUUCGAAACUGGCAGGCUAGAGUCUUGUAGAGGGGGGUAGAAUUCCAGGUGUAGCGGUGAAAUGCGUAGAGAUCUGGAGGAAUACCGGUGGCGAAGGCGGCCCCCUGGACAAAGACUGACGCUCAGGUGCGAAAGCGUGGGGAGCAAACA
rnacentral:rRNA from 1 species